CCGCCCCACCCCGAGCCUGGGGGGACCGGCACCUGCACCAGGAGGAUGAGGCGGCUCCGGAGGGAGGGAGCGGGCUUAGCCCUUCUUGGUCAAGACGCUGCUGAUAUUCUUUACUCAAAACCAAACCCGUAUCUACAAAAGAGAAACAGACCCAAUCACAGAGAACAGACUUGUGGUGGCCAAGGGGGUGGGGGCACUGGACGGGGAGUUUGGGGUUCGUAGAUGCAAACUCUUAGGGUUAGGGCCGAUAAGCAAUGCGGUCCUACCCUACAGCCCAGAGAACUCUAUCCGAUCUCUUGGGAUAGAACAUGAUGGGAGGUAGUAUGAGAAAAAUGUGUGUGUGUGUGUGUGUGUAUGUAUGACUGUGUCACUUUGCUGGAAAAAAUUGUAAAUCAACUAAACUUUAAAAAUGCCUUUAUUUUUCAUCUAGAUGCGAAAGUGGUACAUACACUUCAUCGGGGAAAAUGUAGAGGGUGCAGGGAGCACAAAUCACAAGGAAAAUAAAAACCACCUGCGACCCCAACAGCCCACGAUGGCAGUUGGCCGCGUUUCAGUCGCUUUCCAGCUCCCUUGCUCUGAUGACAAACACUGCGGGGUCGUUUGGAGCAUUCGCUAGCAUUUUUCCUGGCAUUUGAAUGGUCUGUUUCUUCCCCGCAAUGAUUAAAUAGCACCCCACCAUCUGGCUGCUCCACCGCUGAUUUAACCCGCCCACUCUGAUCAAAUUUUGGGGUCGUUCCAUUUUGUUUUUAAUUUUUAAAUAACGAAAUAUUCUCCAGACUCAGAAUAAUGAGUAACUUUUGCAUAAUGAGUGGUGGAUGCUGGCUAGAUGCUCAGGAGCUGGGGCGGGGCAGGGAUGAGGACACAGGGGCCCCUGUCACCCUGCACCCCCGCCCGGGCACGACUAGGGAUGGCACACUGAGUGCUCACUUUUAUCUGUCUCUCCCAAAUUUCACUGAACGCCGAGAAGUCCACACGCGCUCUCAUGGCAAAAACAAAAGUGCAAGAAGAGUAAUGGUGAGUCACUUCCGGGAUAGGCGGGGGCAGGUGGGAUUGAGUGAGGAAGAAAAGAGAUCUGAGAAGAUAGAAGCUGCAGAGCUGCGGAGAAGGGGGCUGGGCUGGGAGGGGAGCUGCUGGAGGAACCAGAGCCCUGCAGGUUAUAGGAUCUUGGCUGAAGGGACCAGAGAAGGAUAUGGAAGGUGUGUGACAAUCCUAGCUCCAGGUGCAGUUUACAAGCCCCUCUGGGCACCCCGGGACUCCCAGCCAGGCCUCUGCACAUGGCGGUAUGGAGAGCCGAAUAUCACCCAAGAAGCAGUCCUGCCAAAAGUGUCCAACCCGGAUCUCACAGCAUCUGAAGCAGUGUUUCAACAGAAAUAUUUAUGAUGAUGGAAAUAUUUGCACUGCCCAGGACAGCAGCCACUGGCUAAAUGCGGAUAUUGGGCACUUGAAAUGAGGCUGGGGAGCUGGAUUUUAAAAUCUAAGAUAAUCUUCAUGAAACUCAUUCGAUGUCAAAUACUCAUCUGUGGCUAGGGGCGACCAUGCCGGCCAGCGUAGCUCCAGGGUCCAAACCUAACCUCCGAGGCACAGGACGUGGGAGGCGGCAGGACAAGUUUCCAUGGGGAAAAGGGUCAGACAAAUCCCGAGGGGAGUGUUACAGGACGACAGCCCUGGGGUGCUCAAAACUCAGUGUCCUUAAAACCAAAACAAAAAAGCAGGAGAAGUGAGGGGCUGUCCUAGGUUAGACGAGGUGAACCAAACAAAGCAGGAAGCUGGAUGGGAUCCCGAUUGAAAAUAACAACGGUACAGACGCAGAGCCUUCCUGGGUCAGCGGAGGGCGCCAGACGUGCCUGGAUGCAGCGGAACAGCACAGGGCCACCGUUAGAUUUCUCAGGGGUUUCACCGGGGUUGUGAUAUUGGGACAUGUCCUUAUUUCCAGAGGGCGCAAGAUGAAGUGUGCAACAAGGGUCUGAGGCCUGCAUUGUUGUAAUGAUGCGGGUGUGUGGGCUGGGGAGGGGGAGAGAGGGAGCUAAAGCAGAUUCGGCAAAAUGUUUUUAAAACAGCCCUGUCAUGCAGGAUACUUCUUCCCAGAAAGUAGAGAACGUACUUCAUGAACGGAGCGACUUAGAAGAGGUUUCUAGGCAAGCUGCCAUCUGGCUGCUUCCUGCUCUUUACCAUGAAAUGUGUGAUGGGAGAGAAGCUAGAGAGGCUUUAAGCACAGAGGAGUCAGGACUGGCUGGUUGAGGAAACUCUCAGAGGCCCCCCCGCCCCCCGAGACGGCCGAUGAUGCUAAAGUGAAGAAAUGGCUUCCAGGCGAAGUUAAAACCCAGGGACGGUCAGCAAAAUAUGGUACAAAGAUGAAGGCAAGAGUGUAGCUGUGAAAUCUUUCAUGAAAAGUUUUGUUAAGGAGUUCCUGUCAUGGCUCAGCAGUCACGAACCCAACUAGCAUCCAUGGGGAUUGAGGUUUGAUCCCUGGCCUCACUUGAUGGGUUAAGGAUCCAGCAUUGCCCUGAGCUGUGGUGCAGGUCACAGAUGCAGCUUGGAUCCCAUGUUGCGGUGGCUGUGGUGUAGGCUGGCAGCUGCAGCUCAGAUUCAACCCCUAGCCUGGGAACUUCCAUAUGCCACGUGUGGACCUUAAAAAAAAAAAAAGAGUUUUGCGAAGAGAAGACUCCAGGGUGAGCCUCAGACAACCCUUCAGAUAAAGAAGUUUCUUAGAAGGGUUUUGCCUCUCCGUAGCCCAGAAAAAACUGAUGUUGCUGUGAG
rnacentral:lncRNA from 1 species